rfam:Microbacterium pygmaeum strain DSM 23142 genome assembly, chromosome: I
UCUGAGCCCCCGACCCUGACUCCCAGCCGCUCACCCCUGGCGCACUUCCCCGGUGCCAGGUAGGAGCGGAUGGGGAUCAGGAUCUGGGGACACCGCCCG